rnacentral:misc_RNA from 1 species
AGCAAGAAACAAAAGCUUUGAUGUGUGCUAUGAACAUGUCUCAAAGCAAGGGGAUGAGUUGUAUGAACUUGUGGCUCAUUUGCCUGACAAGGCGAACAAUUACCUGGCACCAGCUCUCUCUGUUCUUGAGAAGAACACCUGAUUGAUCAAAUGAUCAGUGACCCAUCAAAUUUUAUGUCAUUCUGGGUCAGAUUAUUGUCCAUGUGUAUAUGAUUCAUCUUGUAAAGGUUUUCCUUUUCUCAUAGAAACCGUGUGGAGUCCACUUGUGCCAUGAUGACCGUCUCCAGCACAAAAGUGAAGGAGUUGUUGACAAAAAAAAUCCAUGGUCCUACUACUUUCCCAUCUCUGUAAAACUUGUAGAAUUUUCAUAACAAUUGGG